UAGAGUUUGAUCAUGGCUCAGGAUGAACGCUGGCGGCGUGCCUAAUACAUGCAAGUCGAGCGAAUGGAUUAAGAGCUUGCUCUUAUGAAGUUAGCGGCGGACGGGUGAGUAACACGUGGGUAACCUGCCCAUAAGACUGGGAUAACUCCGGGAAACCGGGGCUAAUACCGGAUAACAUUUUGAACCGCAUGGUUCGAAAUUGAAAGGCGGCUUCGGCUGUCACUUAUGGAUGGACCCGCGUCGCAUUAGCUAGUUGGUGAGGUAACGGCUCACCAAGGCAACGAUGCGUAGCCGACCUGAGAGGGUGAUCGGCCACACUGGGACUGAGACACGGCCCAGACUCCUACGGGAGGCAGCAGUAGGGAAUCUUCCGCAAUGGACGAAAGUCUGACGGAGCAACGCCGCGUGAGUGAUGAAGGCUUUCGGGUCGUAAAACUCUGUUGUUAGGGAAGAACAAGUGCUAGUUGAAUAAGCUGGCACCUUGACGGUACCUAACCAGAAAGCCACGGCUAACUACGUGCCAGCAGCCGCGGUAAUACA
rnacentral:rRNA from 1 species